rnacentral:rRNA from 1 species
CGGCCCAGACUCCUACGGGAGGCAGCAGUGGGGAAUAUUGGGCAAUGGGCGCAAGCCUGACCCAGCAACGCCGCGUGAAGGAAGAAGGCUUUCGGGUUGUAAACUUCUUUUCUCAGGGACGAAGCAAGUGACGGUACCUGAGGAAUAAGCCACGGCUAACUACGUGCCAGCAGCCGCGGUAAUACGUAGGUGGCAAGCGUUAUCCGGAUUUACUGGGUGUAAAGGGCGUGUAGGCGGGAUCGCAAGUCAGAUGUGAAAACUGGAGGCUCAACCUCCAGCCUGCAUUUGAAACUGUGGUUCUUGAGUACUGGAGAGGCAGACGGAAUUCCUAGUGUAGCGGUGAAAUGCGUAGAUAUUAGGAGGAACACCAGUGGCGAAGGCGGUCUGCUGGACAGCAACUGACGCUGAGGCGCGAAAGCGUGGGGAGCAAACAGGAUUAGAUACCCUGGUAGUCCACGCUGUAAACGAUGGAUACUAGGUGUGGGGGGUCUGACCCCCUCCGUGCCGCAGUUAACACAAUAAGUAUCCCACCUGGGGAGUACGAUCGCAAGGUUGAAACUCAAAGGAAUUGACGGGGGCCCGCACAAGCGGUGGAGUAUGUGGUUUAAUUCGAAGCAACGCGAAGAACCUUACCAGGGCUUGACAUCCCGAGGCCCGGCCUAGAGAUAGGCCUUUCUCUUCGGAGACCUCGGUGACAGGUGGUGCAUGGUUGUCGUCAGCUCGUGUCGUGAGAUGUUGGGUUAAGUCCCGCAACGAGCGCAACCC